UUUUCAGUAUUUACAUGUUUGUUUUAUUUUUCAUUAUAUAGCAAUCAUUUGAUCAUUUUUAUUAAAAUGAUGCAAGCCUGAAAGACUGAUAUUUGCCAUCAUUCUCAUCUCUAGAGAACUCUUUGCAGCUCCGGUAAAUUGGACCUAAAAGGAACCAGCUGAACUGUAUUUCUUGAAACAUUCCAAACAAUUUGAGCCUGAGGCAGACACCCGGCAUGCAAAAUUUUGGCAUGAGCGAUUACAUUUUGGCAAAGCUGGAGUAAACCAGUAAAACGGGCAGGAAUGGUUCAUAGAAAGUAAACCAUGGAAGGUGAGCUAACCAACCAAAGUAAGACUUGAGGAGGGAUUUGAAAGCUAGAAAGAUUGCAGAGUGCUUUCAAUCAGGAGAGUAGAGUGUGUGAGGCUGUGUACUGUUAUAAUCCACAUGGACAGCUUCUCAUACUGGAAUGAGCAUACUGGUAAGUGCAACACUUGGUUUGCCAUCUAUAAUGCAGAUAGCUGG